rnacentral:rRNA from 1 species
AUUGAACGCUGGCGGCAGGCCUAACACAUGCAAGUCGAACGGGAACAGGAAACAGCUUGCUGUUUCGCUGACGAGUGGCGGACGGGUGAGUAAUGUCUGGGAAACUGCCUGAUGGAGGGGGAUAACUACUGGAAACGGUAGCUAAUACCGCAUAACGUCGCAAGACCAAAGAGGGGGACCCUCGGGCCUCUUGCCAUCGGAUGUGCCCAGAUGGGAUUAGCUUGUUGGUGGGGUAACGGCUCACCAAGGCGACGAUCCCUAGCUGGUCUGAGAGGAUGACCAGCCACACUGGAACUGAGACACGGUCCAGAGUCCUACGGGAGGCAGCAGUGGGGAAUAUUGCACACUGGGCGCAAGCCUGAUGCAGCCAUGCCGCGUGUAUGAAGAAGGCCUUCGGGUUGUAAAGUACUUUCAGCGGGGAGGAAGGGAGUAAAGUUAAUACCUUUGCUCAUUGACGUUACCCGCAGAAGAAGCACCGGCUAACUCCGUG